rnacentral:rRNA from 1 species
UAACGCGUGAGCAACCUGCCCUUCGGAACGGGAUAGUGUCUGGAAACGGACAGUAAUACCGUAUAACGUAUUUUUACCGCAUGAUAGAAAUACCAAAACUGAGGUGCCGAAGGAUGGGCUCGCGUCUGAUUAGAUAGUUGGUGGGGUAACGGCCUACUAAGUCGACGAUCAGUAGCCGGACUGAGAGGUUGAACGGCCACAUUGGGACUGAGACACGGCCCAGACUCCUACGGGAGGCAGCAGUGGGGAAUAUUGCACAAUGGGGGAAACCCUGAUGCAGCAACGCCGCGUGAAGGAAGACGGUUUUCGGAUUGUAAACUUCUGUUCUUAGUGAAGAAUAAUGACGGUAGCUAAGGAGCAAGCCACGGCUAACUACGUGCCAGCAGCCGCGGUAAUACGUAGGUGGCAAGCGUUGUCCGGAAUUACUGGGUGUAAAGGGAGCGUAGGCGGGAUGCCAAGUCAGCUGUGAAAACUAUGGGCUUAACCUGUAGACUGCAGUUGAAACUGGUAUUCUUGAGUGAAGUAGAGGUUGGCGGAAUUCCGAGUGUAGCGGUGAAAUGCGUAGAUAUUCGGAGGAACACCGGUGGCGAAGGCGGCCAACUGGGCUUUAACUGACGCUGAGGCUCGAAAGUGUGAGGAGCAA